rnacentral:piRNA from 1 species
UUUGAAAGCAAGGUAAAGACU